UACGUAGGUGGCAAGCGUUGUUCGGAAUUAUUGGGCGUAAAGGGCGCGUAGGCGGCAUGUUAAGUCGGCUGUGAAAGUCAGGGGCUCAACCCCUGAUCGGCCGUGCGAACUGGGGGGCUGGAGCACUGUAGAGGCAGGCGGAAUUCCGGGUGUAGCGGUGGAAUGCGUAGAGAUCCGGAAGAACACCGGUGGCGAAGGCGGCCUGCUGGGCAGUGGCUGACGCUGAGGCGCGAAAGCGUGGGGAGCAAACAGG
rnacentral:rRNA from 1 species